rnacentral:rRNA from 1 species
UUUAAGUUUCAUUCUUGCGAUCGUACUCCCGAGGCGGCAAGUGUAACGAUUUCCUUGUGGCUGUAGAAAUGCCUAUGAAGCAUUGAAUACCUAGGGCGGGGCAAUAACGGUGCCAACCACCGCGGUAACACCGGCGGUUCGAUUGGUAACCUUUAUUAUUGGGUCUAAAGGGUCUGUAUCCGGCAGGAUAAUUCUUUUGGGAAAUCCACCUGCUCAACAGUUGGGCUUUCACAACAUACUGAUUCGGCUCGAGACCGGGAGAGGUGAUAGGUACUUCAGGGGUAGGGGUGAAAUCUUGUAAUCCUUGAAGGACCACCAGUGGAGAAGGCUUCUCACCAAAACAGAUCUGACGGCAAGGGACGAAAGCUAGGGGCACGAAACGUAUUAUAUACCCGGGUAGUCAUAGCCGAAAACGAUACUCGCCAGGUGUCAGCCACGGUGCAACCGUGGUUGGUGCCGUACGGAAGACGUGAAUCGAGACACCUGGGAAGUACUGCCGCUAGGCUGAAACUUAAAGGAAUUGGCGGGGGAGCAC